GCAAGUCGAACGGUAACAGGUCUUCGGACGCUGACGAGUGGCGAACGGGUGAGUAAUACAUCGGAACGUGCCCAGUCGUGGGGGAUAACUACUCGAAAGAGUAGCUAAUACCGCAUACGAUCUGAGGAUGAAAGCGGGGGACCUUCGGGCCUCGCGCGAUUGGAGCGGCCGAUGGCAGAUUAGGUAGUUGGUGGGAUAAAAGCUUACCAAGCCGACGAUCUGUAGCUGGUCUGAGAGGACGACCAGCCACACUGGGACUGAGACACGGCCCAGACUCCUACGGGAGGCAGCAGUGGGGAAUUUUGGACAAUGGGCGAAAGCCUGAUCCAGCAAUGCCGCGUGCAGGAUGAAGGCCUUCGGGUUGUAAACUGCUUUUGUACGGAACGAAAAAGCUUCUCCUAAUACGAGAGGCCCAUGACGGUACCGUAAGAAUAAGCACCGGCUAACUACGUGCCAGCAGCCGCGGUAAUACGUAGGGUGCGAGCGUUAAUCGGAAUUACUGGGCGUAAAGCGUGCGCAGGCGGUUAUGUAAGACAGAUGUGAAAUCCCCGGGCUCAACCUGGGAACUGCAUUUGUGACUGCAUGGCUAGAGUACGGUAGAGGGGGAUGGAAUUCCGCGUGUAGCAGUGAAAUGCGUAGAUAUGCGGAGGAACACCGAUGGCGAAGGCAAUCCCCUGGACCUGUACUGACGCUCAUGCACGAAAGCGUG
rnacentral:rRNA from 1 species